CGCUGGCGGCGUGCCUAAUACAUGCAAGUCGAACGGUCUUUUCUAUGGAAGCUUGCUUCCACUGAGAAGAUAGUGGCGAACGGGUGAGUAACACGUGGGUAACCUGCCCAUAAGAGGGGGAUAACAUCCGGAAACGGGUGCUAAUACCGCAUAGUUUUCUUGAUCGCAUGAUCGGGAAAGGAAAGACGGCCUUUGUGCUGUCGCUUAUGGAUGGACCCGCGGCGUAUUAGUUAGUUGGUGAGGUAACGGCUCACCAAGACGAUGAUACGUAGCCGACCUGAGAGGGUGAUCGGCCACAUUGGGACUGAGACACGGCCCAAACUCCUACGGGAGGCAGCAGUAGGGAAUCUUCCGCAAUGGACGAAAGUCUGACGGAGCAACGCCGCGUGAGUGAAAGAAGGUUUUCGGAUCGUAAAACUCUGUUGUCAGAGAAGAACAAGUUGGAGAGUAACUGCUCCAGCCUUGACGGUAUCUGACCAGAAAGCCACGGCUAACUACGUGCCAGCCGCCGC
rnacentral:rRNA from 1 species